UGCGGAGGGUGCAAGCGUUAAUCGGAAUUACUGGGCGUAAAGGGCGCGUAGGCGGCCUGUUAAGUCAUGCGUGAAAUCCCCGGGCUCAACCCGGGAACUGCGUCUGAUACUGGCAGGCUUGAAUCCGGGAGAGGGAUGUGGAAUUCCAGGUGUAGCGGUGAAAUGCGUAGAUAUCUGGAGGAACACCGGUGGCGAAGGCGGCAUCCUGGACCGGCAUUGACGCUGAGGCGCGAAAGCCAGGGGAGCAAACGGG
rnacentral:rRNA from 1 species